rnacentral:lncRNA from 1 species
UAAGUAUUACAAGAAACAUCUGGGUUUUUUUUCUCUAACAGUUUACAUAAUUCAACCAACACAAGUUAAUGUGUUUAAAACAAAAAUAGGAAUGCUGAAAGAAGUUUCUAUAAUACUAGUUUUCCAACAUCGAAUAAGUACGGGUGUCCACUAGAAUAAAAUAGUAAUUAAAGGGGUCCAUAAGUAAAAAAUGGUUGAGAAUCCCUGAUGUAGAGGUACUUGCAUAUGCUUGCACUUCUUUUGGUCAAUUUAUUUGCCAGUAAUAGAUCCAAUGAACAGGAACAGCCCAAUGCCAGAAGUAGCAACUGUGAUGUAUGACUGACAAGUAUUUCAUGAGUAUGUCAUGUUUAGGUCAGAUAUUAUCAUGAAUAUAACAUAAGCACUUUCAAACUGAUAUUUCCUACUUACCUGAAGACAGUCUUCAAGUGUGGCUCAAUAUAUUAUCUCCACUUAAUCCCAUUAUCUUCUGAACUAGCUAGUUGCAUACCUCAGCCAAUCUCCAUCUGACUUUUAUCUCUUUUCUUUUCAUCACCACUAUCUACUGUGUCUCACUCCCUCAGAUCACCACACUAGCCACAUUUUGCCCUAUCCUCAAACCCAAGGACAUCAAACCUCUGUAAUUCCCUCCAGCAGUUUUCCUGCAGACAUCAACAUCUGUACAUUGAUGUUGUCAUCACUGGAUGUUAAAAUGAUGAUGGUAACAUCGACUUAUAGAUGUUCAAACUGAACCAGAGGACCAGCCUAAUUUGUGGGUACUACCUUUUUCCUAAGCCAUUAAAUUUAUGAGAUUCGUUCAUACAAUAUCAAAAUAAAAAAAAAUGUUUCCAUGAAACAUAAGGUACAAUGGUUGUGAGAUAAAGGUGAUGAUCUACCUAACCAUGUAGUCAUAAGUUCAAAUCCUAUUAAAGCUAUUAUGUUGUGUUGCAGAGCAAGAUAUAUAAAUAUACUUAACUGCUCGACUGAACAAAGAAAAAGAAACUUUCAAUUCUCUCUUUCUGGUUGAGUAGUUGGUAGUUAAGAAGUGCAAGCAUCUUGCUGUAAAAAAAAAAUGUUCCCCUUCAGAAAAACCACCAUACCUGUGCAAAUAUGAACCCCACCAUCACCAAAACAAAAAGAAAAGAAGAAAUAGAUGUGAAACAGUAAAGUAAGGGAAGAAGACAAAUUCUUAAGCAAAAACAAAACAUUUUGAAAACCUUUAUUCAUCUCAAGUGUACUUGAGAUUUUUUGAAUUCUAUAGAAUUUGAAAAUACAUUUUGAAAAGUUUUUUCAACAAAUGUCUCAAGUAGUUACAACAAUACAUUUUUUUUUUUGCUGGCUAGUAAUCAAAUUGUAAAUAUUCUAACACACUUGAAAAAAAAAAACAUUAAAAAAACAAAUCAAAGCAAAAACAACCUUUGCCUCAGAAUUCUUAAUAUUAUGAUCAUUUAUAAUCAAGAAGCUUAUUUCUUAUGAAUUGUGGUUGAGUGUAUUAAUAGUCAUUAAGUUGCAUUUAUGGUUAAAUGGUUAUGGAUUUCAUUUUGUAAAUACAGGUUUUCAGAUUUGAAUCUAGUGUGUGUCACCUUAGGUUAGUGUCUUCUAUAGCCUAGCCUUGGGUUGGCCCAAACCUUGUGAAAGAAACUGUGUUGACAGAACGGCUAUGUGGAAGCCUGUUGGCUGGACUGUACCUGUAAUACAACAGGGUCGAUCUUACCAUAUACACUGUCAUGCAGAGUAUGAGAUUAAUGAUGCAAUACUCUGUGGAAUAUUUAUAUUUACCCACAUACACUAUGAUACAAGGAAUUGGUAGAUUUAUUGAUUGAAGAACUGAAAUACUCAUUGUGAAAACCUAAGGGACAACCAUUAAUCAUCGUUUUUGAUGUGAAAAAAAUUUCAUUUUUUAAAAAUUAUUUUUAUAAAUUUCCCUCCAGCAGACCUCUUUGUGUAAUAUAUGUAAAAAAAAAAAUCACUCACACACAUGUAUGCAAACACAUAUAUAUGUAUAAUUUCACAAAAAAAAGUGACCAAGAGUACAGUGAUAUUGCCAUUGGCUGGUGGAAAUUCAACAUUUCAGACAUGUCUUUCUCACUGGUGGUCACUUGCAAUGGUUCAAGGAGUACUUUAACAGCAUCAGUUUCAAUAGUCUUUGAGGAGCUGUAAAGGGUGCACAUGCCAUGGACACUACCUCUUCUUCCAGACCCAGCAAAUAAAACAAAAAAAGAAAGAUACUUAACCACUUGCACUUUAUUCAUCAAAUAGGUAGUUUAGUUAACUAAAACCAACAGAAAAUUUAUUUACAAUAUAUAUAUAUUAUGUAAUUUUAUUUUUGUUUUUGUGUGUGUACGUGUAUAUGUAUGUAAAGUGUGUGUGUGUGUAUAAGUAUACAUCUGUGUGUAUAGAUGGAGAGGUCUCGUCUUACAGUUAUGUUGUAGGAAAAAAAAACAGAUUUUAAAGACAUUUUCUAUUAAGCUUUUUAAGUUAACAGAUCUUCAUAAACUUGCUUAUAAAUCUGUGUCAGUAAUUUUCCAAAACUUUUUUUAAAUUCAUGUAUACAUAUAUGUCUAUGUAUGUACUUGUGUAUUUAUGAGUAUGUUUGCAUAUUUACAUUGGCAUAUGCAUAUUUUUAUUGGUAUAUUUAUGUAUGUGUAUGUAUAUUUUUGCAUAUUUAUUAGUGUGAUUAUGUAUACCUUGUUUUUCAAUUAUUUGAAUUCUUCCUAUCAAAGAAACAAGCAAGUUUCUAACUUAGAAACAGUGCUCCUUUACUAUAAAUUAGGUAAGAAUAAGAGUGAAGAGUUGGAUAUUAAAAAACCCUUGCAUAUUUUUACUGUUCUGCUUGCAUAUUAUAACUGCAAUAUGCAUGUUAGCUUGCUAUUCUUUGUAUGUGAAAAUCUCAGAUUUUCAAGAUUGCUACUUAGACAUUUUUUAAGAAAACUGAGAGCACCAAUGUUUAUGGGUACAACAGGGAAUUUGUAAUCUGGACAGAGAAUUUGUUGAUUUUGAAUCAAUUGUCCAUAAAUAUUCUCUAUGUAAUUUUGAAAGAAAUUUUCACAUCUGAAGGCCAGAUGACCACAGUAAUUGAAUAUAAUGUUUCAUUUCUGUUCCAAACACUCUAUCAGACCUGUCAUAUUUGCAUUUAGCAGAAGUUCUGAUGGCAAUGUUCCACUGGUAUUUUUUUUUUCUUUCCUUUUUUUUUCUUUAGAAAUGUUUAUACUCAACAAGAGAAAUAUUUCUCUAUAUUUAUUUGUUGUGGAAAGAUUCUGACCACCCCUCAAGUGACUAAAAGUGGACUGACACAUUGCUAUAAAAUAAAGAACUGUCAGCAAUUCAGGGGUAAGCAGUUCAUUGUGAGGCGUUGGCAGAGAGCUUGUAACCUUGUGUAACAGUAAUAGUGCAUUGUGUGAAUACUGUCUUUCCCCCUGCUUUGUUAAAUUAUACAUCCAACACCAAGAUUUAAAAUUAUCCCAUGGCAGUUUACCCUGUGAAUUGCAUUGCAGAUAGUAUUUUAGUCACAUUUUAAGAUAACUGUGUUAUAGCAAUCAGAAAAAUGUCAAAGGUCAAAGUUUCAUUUUGUCACUGUCUCUUGUUCAAUGAAUAUUUUGUAGCAAUCUUCUACUCUCGGAUUACAAAAACGUAAUCUUCAAAAUGGAACCUGGUGCAAUGAUUCUGAGUGUAGGAGAACUACGCAUAUAUUUAUAAACAUGGCAUAUAAUAAACACUACUCAAGCAUGGCCGAUGCCACUGCUGGUGGCGCAUAAAAAACCAGCAUUUGAGCAUAGUUGAUGCCACCUGACUGGCCUCUGUGCUAGUGGCACAUAAAAAGCACCCACUACACUCUCAGAGAGGAAGGACAUCCAGCUGUAGAAACCUUGCCAGAUCCGAUUGGAACCUGGUGCAGCCACCUGGCUUGCCAGCCCUCAGUCAAACUGUCCAACCCAUGCCGGCAUGGAAAGCGGACGUUAAAUGAUGAUGAUGAUGUAUUGCAAGCCACAUGAUAGGCAGCCAGUCUACAAACUAACUGUGAAUAAGAAAUAUCUUGACCUAGACAGUCUUCCUAGUGCUGAUGGUCUGAUAAAAUGCAGUCAGUUGAUGCAUGUAUGUAUAAUUAUAUAUUCUCUUUCCAAAUUAAAUGUAUAUUGUAUCUAUUAUUGGGGCACUUAGUUAUUUUACUAAAUGUGUAAGCAGUAAUCUUGAGAAGAUUGGGUUUCCAGGCAAAGAAAAAUUGCCAUCUAAUGUAUAUUUUGCAAAUAUUAUCUGUACGCGGAACCAAAAAAAAUAUAUAAGAUUUUUCUAAAAUACACCUUGUAACUAUUUGUUGUUAUUUGUCUCAACAUUUCUUGAACAACUGCAUAUGGCAGGAAACUCUGAGUACUAAGAGAGUGAAUCAUUAGUCACCUAUUUACCUCCUAAUAAAUCAUACACUCAAUGUGUGUAUGAUGCUAAACUGCUGAAGGUUGACGAGCCGACAAAAAGUAUUCGUUAGGCAAUUAUCUUUUCUUUUAUACAGCAUUUUUAUAUGCUUCUUGGCUGAAUAAAUGUAUUUUGAUACUGACUUCUUUACUAAUUGGUUGUAACAUUCAAAUUUUGUCACAGACAGGAGAGUACAUAUUACAGUAACCCAAAUGAAAAAGACAGGGUUUGUGUCUAUCAGUGAAACUGUCAGUAGUCUGAGAAUCUUGAUACCAGUGAGUUUUAUAAACAAAGCAUGGAACUUGAAACUUUUGGACAACUCAGUCAUCUAUCAAUGAAGAAUGGGUAUCCUGAGCUGAAUUCAAAUCCACUUGGAGAAAAUGGUACUUGUCCUCAAAUCUGUGUCCUGUCUACCUCAUUGCAUACAUGUAUUGAUCAGCCUGAUUUUGGAUCUAAGUCCUGGUUGUGAUUUACAUUGCUUGUGUUAUGGUUGCUGCUUAAACAUUUUAUUCUAUGUUUAAGUUCACUCCCUAUUUUGUGGAUUAGUAAGAGGAAUAAGUUGUUCUCAAACCCGAGACCUAGUCUGAAUGCUUUAUCACACUGGACUCUACUAAUAGCACCUAUGUACCGGUUGGUGGUGGUAAAAUAGGCUACAUAUUAAGUGUACCAUUCUUGUUAAUGUCCACCACUAUGUAUCAUUUAUACCUCAUUCCAUUCCAUUUCAAGGAUUCUUUGGAUGUUUACAGCUAAAUGUCUUGAACAAAAUCCAUGGGGAAGAGAUGUAACCUAAUUUUCUGCACUCAUGGCUUCUGGAUUUGUAUCAAAACAUAUCUUGUGCAAAGCAUUCAAUGGCUUGCUUCAGAUCUAAGAAUGUUUGUUGCAACAGUUCAUCACAUGUAUUCAGCCACUUUAAAUGAUCGGGGGGGGGUGUAAAUGUUUUUUUGUGUUACAAUUUUUGGAUUUUUUUAAAAUCUAGAAAUAUAUAUAUAUAUAUAUAUAUAUAUAUAUAUAUAUAUAUAUAAAAGAGGCUUUUCCACACGAUGUUACAACUGAUAUUGACAAUAUUGUGUAUGUGUGUAUAUAUAUAUAUAUAUAUAUAUAUAUAUAUAUAUAUAUAUAUGCUAUGGGAGACUGUUCAUGAUUCAUUUCAUUGUUACUCAGAGUUUUAUUCACACAAACUCUACUUCAUUUAUUAAACUUUGAUUAAAACAUCUUACCAUGAACUCAGUGCAAAAUGUAGAGUCAAAUCUACAUUUUUUUUUAUAUCAUAUAUAUGUGUGUGUGUCUUUGUUUGUUGAGUAUUAGGUGAAGGAAGGCAUAUUGAUGUAACUCACCAAUACUAAAUCAGACAUCAUCCCGCUCUGUUGACAAUAUUCCAUGCCAUUUAUUUUUAUGUAUCAAAAUUGUAAAAAGAAUUAUAAUUUUUUUUUUUUUUUUUUUCAAGAUUGGUCACUGAAACAAACUGAUUAGUUUGGCUUGCCAUUUCCUACAUUUUCAUAUAUUAUCAUUUACAAAAAAAAAUAAUAAAUAAAAAUUACAAAAAAAAAAUUAUCAUCUCUCUAUAUUUUAUAAAUUAAUGUAGCUAAGUAAAAAUAAACAAAAAC